rnacentral:tRNA from 13 species
GGGGCUGUAGCUCAGUGGCAGAGAGCUCGCUUUGCAUGUGAAAGACCCGGGGUUCGAUCCCCCGCACCCCCC